CGUGGGUAACCUGCCCAAGAGAUCGGGAUAACACCUGGGAACAGAUGCUAAUACCGGAUAACAACAGAUGAUGCCUAUCAACUGUUUAAAAGAUGGUUCUGCUAUCACUCUUGGAUGGACCUGCGGUGCAUUAGCUAGUUGGUAGGGUAACGGCCUACCAAGGCGAUGAUGCAUAGCCGAGUUGAGAGACUGAUAGGCCACAUUGGGACUGAGACACGGCCCAAACUCCUACGGGAGGCAGCAGUA
rnacentral:rRNA from 1 species